GCCUGGUUAGUCUGGGACGAAAGCUGGCUUACAUCCAGCCAAAGCGGGGUUCGAUUCCUCGACUGGGUAC
rnacentral:tRNA from 2 species